UUUUCCUCAGAGUUCAACUAUUCCAAUACCACGAUGAAAAGGACGCGAAUGCUCCCUAUUCCAAUGGCAGUUUCCCAGGGAAAACUGAAAGCGAGCCAUUGAAAAAACUAAAGCAAUACAUACAUGUAGAAAGAGAGAAACCACCCACACAUAUACUCAUUUGAGAGAGAGAGAGAGAGAGAGAGAGAGAGAGAAACGACUCUCUGUUGUAUCAUCAGAUCUGGAGAUCUAGGCAGUCCUUCCCUCCGUGAAUUCCAUUUUUGGAAGAAGCAGUGCUUGGUUGAUGGAAAAUGGAGUACAUAGCAACUUUGCCUCCCGUGGAUCUGAUGCGCUCCGAAAGAUGGUUUUCUUUCAGCUCAUCAUGCCCUUCGAGUCAGCUCAACGCGCCAUCUCUUACCUCGGUGAACUCGGCCUUCUUCAAUUUUGUGACACGAGUAUAGUUUGCUCGCUAGAGGAAGGUCCUGGAAUGCUUUUCAAGGCAAUUGCUGUUUUUGCAAUGAGACUACAUUGAAAGUUGCCCACUGCAGAAGCAGGCCUUGCAAACACUAGACGAUAACAAUAACGGAUUCCAAAGUAAAUAUCUUGCCUAAUUUGUCUGUUGCAUUUUUAUGCAUUUGACACUUUCAUGAUUGGAUUAGUUUCCACGCACUGUUUUGUUCAACUAUUUGCUCGAUGCAUUUAAUAUUCUCGUACAGGCUCUUCCCUUAUCUAUUCUAUGUGGAUUUUGAAGCAUCAAUGGCUGACCAAAAAUCACAGAAUGCCCUUGGGCAUCUAAAGGUGUAGUCGGCUUUAUUAUCAUUCAGCUUUGAAAUAUAAAUUUUAGCUGUAGAUGAUAUAGGAAGAUGUAUUCCUUUGGCAAGAGAUUGCUACAUUCUUGAGAGUGCUGGGGAUUUACCCAGAGGACAUUAGCAUGUUGUGAAUGGAUGCUGAAGCCCUGGGUAAGAAUCCAUUAUUUAUCUUCAAUUAGGCAAAGUAAAUUUUCACAGAGAAUCGAUUUUGUCAUUUUGUAUUAGAAAGAAGUUGUGUUAAAAUGAUUUGAAGUUUUACAAGGCCUGAUAACUCCCUAGUACCUAUCUAAGCAGAUGUAUGGUUGUUAGCAAUCCAUUUAGAUAUUGAGUCUCCCAAACUUUUUUAAAAUGAUGAGGUCCUUGCCAAGUGACUCCAAAGUUAUAGGCUGAUUGAGCUUGGCUUAAAAAACUCAUGUGCUCCAAGUGAGGAUUGUCUUUGGUUUUACCCAGGGUGUGACAAGUGCUCCAACUAAUUUUGAUUUUAUAAUGAAUGUUGAUAUAUUAAAAACACUUUUCUCUAUGAAGCUAAAACUAUUGCUAAGCUAUAAGGUAAAUGAAGCUUUACGCCAUAAAAAUUGUCCGAGCGUGUCUAUUGCUAAUUGAUUUAGGGCAGGAACUAGCUAGAAGACUAUUAUAUAGUUGACUGGCGGGCUACAGCUAAUAAUCUUUUUGUCUUCCUUCCUGUGUUUUCUAGAUUACGUUUCUAGACAUUUGUAACCAGCUUUUGAAAGUUUCUCGUAAUGUGUAACUUUUGAUCGUAAAUCUGUCCGAAUGAAUAACUUGUAAAGUUUUUGUUUUUGUCUUUUUGUUUUUUAUUAGAUUUUGUGAUAAUGCAGGGCUCAUGGAAGGUUUUUUUGGGCCAAGGAGACAUCCUAAUUUUGUUUUUGGUCUCAUCGACAAAUAUGUAUAGAAGUUAGAGUUGUUUGUGCACUGCUGGAAGUAGAGAUUUUCACACCUUAGAUGGGUAUGUAGAUUGUGUUCUCACAACAUUCUGAAACAACAUUCUGAAACAUCAGUCAAAACUAAGGUUGUACUAUUCACUUUUCAUGGUGCAUUUGUUUAAUUGAUUUUUCGUUUUCUUCUUCAUAGUAGAUUGUAUAAACAAAAGGGAACAAAUGUGGGCUCUAUGUUCGUACCAGUAAGCUUGUACUAUAUGAUUACUCUCAAAACAAUUUAGUUCCUCAAAAUUCAUGAUUCUAUUCUAGGUAUUUUGAUGACUUUUGAAAGCAAAA